rnacentral:rRNA from 1 species
UACGUAGGGUGCAAGCGUUGUCCGGAAUUAUUGGGCGUAAAGAGCUCGUAGGCGGUUCGUCGCGUCGGCUGUGAAAUCCCGAGGCUCAACCUCGGGUCUGCAGUCGAUACGGGCGGACUGGAGUUCGGCAGGGGAGACUGGAAUUCCUGGUGUAGCGGUGAAAUGCGCAGAUAUCAGGAGGAACACCGGUGGCGAAGGCGGUUCUCUGGGCCUGUACUGACGCUGGAGGAGCGAAAGCGUGGGGAGCGAACAGG